CUCAGAGACAAGGAAACCUCUUUGCACCUGCUCAGGAGACUUGGCACUAUACCAAGUGAUUCCCUCCCUUGGUGGUGGGGUUGGGAACAGAGUUGGGGAUUCAUCUCAGCUUUUUCCAUAAGGUUUGGAUCAGAACUGCUGUUUUGGGAUGAGUUAUGGAUGCAUGAAUUUCUAGCAAGACAGCAUGACCACAGUGGAGACUUAGUGCAUGUGCUGGUUGAUCAUCACAGGUUGGUACAAAGGCAGCCCGAGGCGCUCUCUGCAUUUUUCUCAAUUAAAACAGAGAGUAGAAGCACUUUGGACAGUGGACCAAACCUCAGAGAGACGUGGCGUGGCCAGAAAAGCAACUCUGCUGGCUGGACCUGUGUGCUCUGCCUAUGGAGCUCAUGGACUAGAGAUAAGGAAUACAGGUUAUUUCUGACUCUGCUCCAUAGGGGUGGUCCUAUAGAGCUUUUCAUGUUGGAUAACUUUUAUCUCUAAUGUGGUCAGGAAGUGGCUUGUGCUUCCACAUUUCCACAGCACUGAUCCCAGUGAGAACACUGCCUGUGAUGGAGUACUCCUGGGUUCUAGCUCAACAUGUGAAAUAAAUAUUUGUAUUAAUGAUACA
rnacentral:lncRNA from 1 species